GGAGUGUAGUGUGCGGAUUGAAGAGAACGCUUCGUGAAUGUCCUUCGCGUCUUCGAACCCCAGGUCAAGCACCAGAGAAUGUCUGGGAGUGAGCAAGGUGCCGGUGUUGCUUCUGUGGAUCAUCCUCCUGCUUGUACAGCCCUGGGGGGACCUAGGAAUGCCCCUCUGCUGCAGGGAGCCUUUUUACUUCCUUGCAGCCCUCUGAAGAUACUAGGAAACAAAAAUGAUGACACCCUCUACACCCCAGAUGAUCUCCGGUGAGUACUGUAUUUGCUUCUUUCUGCAGUUGGAGGUUUUGAGAGAAUUCAGUGGUCUCCAUGUGUGAGGGUAGCUGUGUGACCAUAUGAAUAUGUUGCAGGGAGGAGGUAGUGGGACUGUCUCCUGACCCAGCCCCUAGUCUCGACAGAUAUAUUUUGGUCACCGCUGUCUCCAAUACCUAGAAUAGGGAGGCAUAUAAUAACAAAUGAUGACUACAGCUACAUGUAAAUAGUGCUUACUCUGUGCCAGAUAUUGGUUUAAAUGCUUUAAGUAUGUUAGCUUAUUUACUCUUUACACCAAUCCUAUAAGAUAGACACGACCGCCAUGUAUGGAUGUGAACGUUGUACACUGCAUAAGGAUCCCACAUCUACAAAGGCGGUACUGUAUUCACAGCCUGGACAUUGUAGAUUUGCGUAUUUGUCGGUUUCCAGCAGAUGGCAGUAAAGUAUCUUGUUCUGAUAAAAUCAAGCCUUAGAAGGUAGAAGGAACUUAAGGAAGGUCUUUUUCUUUUCUGUUUUUUUGAGACAGGGUCUUGCUCUGUCCCCCAGGCUGGAGUGC